AACGCACAUUGCGCCCUUUGGUAUUCCGAGGGGCAUGCCUGUUCGAGCGUCAUUUGCACCCUCAAGCUCUGCUUGGUAUUGGAGACCGCCCCGGUGGGGCGGCCCCGAAACGCAGCGGCGACGUAGCCGGACUCCCUGGCGUAGUGACACUUAGCUGUCGCCCCGGAGUGGUCGGUCAUGCGUUUGCCGGACAACGCCCAUAUCCUUAUCAUUGACCUCGGAUCAGGUAGGACUACCCGCUGAACUUAA
rnacentral:misc_RNA from 1 species